rnacentral:lncRNA from 1 species
UACAACACAUCUACAACAACCAGGACAAUCAGGCCACGAUGCCCAAACGUUCACAUUUGAAAGCUUGAAUCGGACUUAUCUUCUGACAGAUCCCUCCCCAUCGCUGCCAUUGCUCCAGAGCUUGUGGUCGUGGAGUGCACUGCCACUGCUGAGGACCUCGCUCCAAUGCUUGCCUCUGAUGCUGCAACCACGGAUGUGCCUCCCCAACACUGCAAUGGCUCCAGCGCUCGUGGACUCCACCGGCGCCAAUAGAAGCUAGGCUAAAAGCCUUUGGUCAAGAAAAACUCCACCGGCACCGUUGAGGGCCUCGCCCUGUGGGCUGCCACAAUGUCUCAGGAAGAGAAAUGGAGUAGAGCAGCGGUUGGCAGCUGGUACAGUCCACAGUGG